rnacentral:rRNA from 1 species
CAGUAGCCGCGGGAAUACGGAGGGGGCUAGCGUUGCUCGGAAUGACUGGGCGUAAAGGGCGCGUAGGCGGAUGGCACAGUCAGAUGUGAAAUUCCUGGGCUUAACCUGGGGGCUGCAUUUGAUACGUGUUGUCUAGAGUGUGAAAGAGGGUCGUGGAAUUCCCAGUGUAGAGGCGAAAUUCGUAGAUAUUGGGAAGAACACCGGUGGCGAAGGCGGCGACCUGGUUCAUGACUGACGCUGAGGCGCGAAAGCGUGGGGAGCAAACAGGAUUAGAUACCCCCGUAGUCCCUGUCUCUUAUAC